rnacentral:pre_miRNA from 1 species
AGUUAAUUGCUAGGUUAUAUGGUCACUCUGCUUCAUCUUUUGAGGAACUGAUGAAAUUUUUUUAUCAAAAUGACUGCUCCAUUUUACAUUCCCAUCAGUAGC